AUUGAACGCUGGCGGCAGGCUUAACACAUGCAAGUCGAGCGGGGUGAUGGUGCUUGCACUAUCACUUAGCGGCGGACGGGUGAGUAAUGCUUAGGAAUCUGCCUAUUAGUGGGGGACAACAUUUCGAAAGGAAUGCUAAUACCGCAUACGUCCUACGGGAGAAAGCAGGGGAUCUUCGGACCUUGCGCUAAUAGAUGAGCCUAAGUCGGAUUAGCUAGUUGGUGGGGUAAAGGCCUACCAAGGCGACGAUCUGUAGCGGGUCUGAGAGGAUGAUCCGCCACACUGGGACUGAGACUCGGCCCAGACUCCGACGGGAGGCAGCAGUGGGGAAUAUUGGACAAUGGGCGGAAGCCUGAUCCAGCCAUGCCGCGUGUGUGAAGAAGGCCUUAUGGUUGUAAAGCACUUUAAGCGAGGAGGAGGCUACUUUAGUUAAUACCUAGAGAUAGUGGACGUUACUCGCAGAAUAAGUACCGGCUAACUCUGUGCCAGCCGCCGCAGUAACAC
rnacentral:rRNA from 1 species